CCUACGGGAGGCAGCAGUGAGGAAUAUUGGUCAAUGGGCGGGAGCCUGAACCAGCCAAGCCGCGUGAAGGAAGAAGGCGCCAAGCGUCGUAAACUUCUUUUGUCGGGGAACAAAGGGCGCCACGUGUGGCGUUGUGAGUGUACCCGAAGAAAAAGCAUCGGCUAACUCCGUGCCAGCAGCCGCGGUAAUACGGAGGAUGCGAGCGUUAUCCGGAUUUAUUGGGUUUAAAGGGUGCGUAGGCGGGCAUUUAAGCCGGCGGUCAAAUGUCGGGGCUCAACCCCGGCCUGC
rnacentral:rRNA from 1 species